rnacentral:lncRNA from 1 species
AUGCUCUUUUUGUUGGCCGCCGGUCAGAUGGAAGAGCCUCCUGGGAAAACUCUCAGCUGUGAAGAGAAGGAAAAGUUGAAAGAAAAAUUAGCAUUCCUGAAAAGGGAAUACACCAAGACAUUGGCCCGCCUUCAACGUGCCCGAAGAGCUGAGAAGUUUAAAAAUUCUCUUAGGAGAACAGUGGAAGAACAAGAUUCCUCACUCCAGCAGGAAGUUUCAACACAGCUAACCCACACAGAACCUAAAAAUACAGUAUCUCCUCAUGACACGUUGCAAAUCAGUACCCAUGUUGAUGAAGAAACUGGAGAAAAGACACCCAGCUCACUUGACAUUGAGCCUCUGUUGUUUAGCUCUGGACGUGUCUCAGUGGAAGGAUCACGCAUAGAAGGAUCAGAUGAUAAUCAGAAACAUUUUCCUUUCAGGGUCAAUCGCCCUGAUGCUAAGAAAAGGCAGAGAAAGCUGCUGGGGAGAAGAAAGAAAGAGGAAAGAACAUAUAUUUCACAGGAGAGAGAACCUCUCUCUGAUACUGAUUCACUCAUACUCUCUGGAAAAAGACUAAAGGAACAGGAAAAAAUCAAUAGAGAAAAUCCCAAAACACCUGUAACUGAACUAAGAACUUACCCCCUUUCAAGUCCUAAGUGUGCCAUUCCAAAUUCUCCAGCACCAGUUACAGAAACUAAUGUAGGGAGUGUAUUAAUUCUACCAAGCACCAAACCGCAGAGAGAUGUUGAUGCCCUCCUUAGAGGAAAUGAUUUCCCCAGGGCGACUACUCUUCCUCUGCCUACACCAUCAGACAGCAGUAGCGGUCAGCUCCUCGAACACAAGCGCCCUCAAAGUAACUGUGAACUUACUACUCACAGCUUAAGAAACAUUAGCUCUGCUUCACCUGUAAACUUACAGGUACAGAAGGAAAAAAUGACUGUCUCUACAGAUAACCCAGAGGUAAACAAAGCUGGAAGUAUAAGUGGCCAGGCAGCUAGAAGUCCUAACUUAGGGGCAGAUAACUCAUGUUUUAUAAAUGAACUCACUUAUGAUAACUUAGUGGAAAAUGAAAACCAAAACUUAAAAGAACAAAAUCACACAGAGAUGUCUCUUAAAUCUCCCAAUGAUGCUCUCGGUGGUAGAAAUGAAAGUCUUCUAGAAAAAGAAGUUCUAAGUCAGUCUAAGAAUCUUAGCCUGGGAGUAAUUUCUCCUGUUUCUACAGAAGAUCAAAUACAUUCUUGCACAAUGCUUGAAGGCCUUCUCUUUCCUGCAGAAUAUUAUGUUAGGACAACACGGCGCAUGUCAAGCUGCCAGAGGAAAGUAGCACUGGAGGCUGUAAUUCAGAGUCAUUUAGGUGUCAGGAAAAAAGGCUUUAAAAAUAUGAGUACAAAAUCUGCUAAAAAAUUUAAUGUUUCCAACGAAAAAACUAAGCAAAGUGAAAUUAAGGUGUCUGACACACACGCAGACCAACCAAGUUCAGGAAGUCCUCAGAAACUUCUCUCAUUAACUGAAGUCAGCUUUUCCACUGACUCCACAGAAGAUGACUUUUCCAGGAAGACAGUUACCAAGCCAUCAGGUAAAAAAUGCAGAGGAAAAAGAAAGUCAGCGUGCACCUCUCCGUUAGAUCACCAUGAAGUACUUUUGCCAACUUCUGGCACAUCAGGUGUUAAGAAGUCCAAGGAAGAAAUUGCCUUGCACAGAGAUCAGAAUGAAAAGGCAAUUAUUCACAGUAAGAAGAGAGUUAAAGGGAAGGAAGGUCAUUGUCAAAAAGAGGACUCCCUUUCUUACAGUAAUUACGCUUAUUUCUCUUCGGAUGAUGAUGCUUUCAGCACUCCAUCUCAUAAGAACAAAAUGCUAAGUUUAAAGCAUCUGUCAUCUUUUCUCAAAAUCACAGACUUUCAGUUACCUGACGAAGACUUUGGGUUUCUUAAGCUUGAAAAACUGAAGUCCUGCUCAGAUAAGCUGAUGGAGCCUUUUGGAUCAAAAGUACAUGGAGAGGGGCAUCUUAAAGGGGAAAGUUACAUUGUUGUGGAGGAACCAAGCCCGAAACAAAGCAAUAUAGAAAAGGAGGGCAUGGAAGAGGAACUAACUACUCUACCAGGAAAGGCACAUUCUAGAAUGCCAAGCCAAAGAAGCCAGCCUCGGGGAAAGGACCUUUCUUCAUCCAUUUUACUUUUCACUCCUUUGAAUUCUGUUGCCUCUGAUGAUAAUGACAGACUGACUGCAGACCUGUGCUCACCUGCUUUCCCCAUAUUAGGCGCUACUCCAGCUUUUGGCUCCCAAGCCCACAAGGAAAAGGUGUCUGCAGAGGCGGGUGGACAAACAUGCUCGCCACUCCGUCUUUCUCACUUAAAAGCCACAGUCAGCCUGCCUAGCAGUCGUAAACAGUGGAACAGCUGGAGCAGCCCCCCAAGAUUAGAUAGCAGCCAGCAUGUUGCAGGAAGAGCAGGACAGCCUUCCUGCGACCCUGACUCUGGUCCCCAAGCAACAACUCUGCCCACCGAGUCUUUCACCUUCGAAGCAAGUCAGCUCCAGGGAUCACAGAGACAUUCUGCUGAGCAGACUGAAAUAGAGGUUCCUGCUUGGGAUAGCUUAAACCCGGGCACCCUACAGCUGGUUUCAAAGUUAAAGAAUCCUUCAGGUUCUUGUUCUGUGGAUGUGAGUGCCACGUGGUGGGAAAUAGCUGGUUUCAAACAGCCAUGUAUCGUAACUGCUUGUGAAUACGUCGUUUCUCUUUGGAAACCUCUGGAUGCUUGGCAGUGGGAAAAAAUUUAUUCCUGGCACUUUACAGAGGUUCCAGUAUUACAGAUAGUUGCAGUGCCUGAUGUUUGCAAUCUUGUGUGUGUGGCUUUGGGAAAUUUGGAAAUCAGAGAAAUCAGGGCACUACUUUGUUCUCCCGAUGGUAAAAGUGAAAAGCAAGUGCUCCUGAGUUCUGGAAAUAUAAAAGCUGUGCUUGGCCUGGCAAAAAGGAGGCUUGUCAGUAGCAGUGGGACCCUUUGUGAUCAACAAGUCGAAAUUAUGACAUUUGCCGAAGAUGGAGGAAGCAAAGAAAAACAGCUUUUGAUGCCCCCUGAAGAGACCAUACUAACUUUUGCUGAGGUUCAAGGGAUGCAGGAAGCUCUGCUUGGUACCACUAUAAUGAACAACAUUGUUAUUUGGUUCCUGGAAGGUGACGUGAAAGACCAUUUCGCAGCAGCAGUAUUGACUUCUGGAACCAUUGCCGUUUGGGACUUACUCUUGGGUCACUGCACUGCCCUCCUUCCUCCUGUCUCUGGCCAGAAUUGGUCUUUUGUUAAAUGGUCAGGUACAGAUUCUCAUUUGUUGGCUGGACAAAAAGAUGGAAAUAUAUUUGUAUACCGCUACUAA